AUACCAUGAUGAGGACAUCUCCUAAGUAACUCCUUAAAUCUUUCCCAUGCAUCACCAAGCUCUCAUCUUCAAGUUGAUGGAAAGAUGUGAUCUCGUUCCUCAACUU
rfam:Citrus clementina cultivar Clemenules unplaced genomic scaffold scaffold_5, whole genome shotgun sequence.